rnacentral:snoRNA from 1 species
UACCUCCAGAUAUUUUACCUCUCUGAUCCAAAUAGUGGUCUGGGUGGCUAAGAAAAAUGAAAAGUAAAACUGAAGUUGACUUGGCAUCAUCAAUGGCAUACAAGUUCAUGUCAAACUAUCAAAAGC